UACCCUCAGGCUUCCUCUACUGCGUGUC
rnacentral:piRNA from 1 species